rnacentral:rRNA from 1 species
CCUGGCGGCCAUAGCGCCGUGGAACCACCUGAUCCCAUGCCGAACUCAGAAGUGAAACGCGGUAGCGCCGAUGGUAGUGUGGCAUUCGCCAUGCGAGAGUAGGACACAGCCAGGC